UAUCACUCACCUGUGUGCACUAGAGUAGAAAGAGUAGAACCUGCAACAACGCCAGUACAGCGCGAGAAGAAAAAGCGGCAAUUUCAUCAAACUUUUCUGAAACUGUGCCAUCUGGUACCAACUCAAAAGACCGAACAGACAGCCGAUGUUAACUGAUGGACUGGAGUGCUGUGUAUUAUUGUGAUGUUUUUAUCAGCUGUUGGGACUCCCAUUCUGACGGCACCCAUUCACUGCAGAGCAUCUAUUGGUGAUGCAAUGCUACAUUUCUCCAAAUCUGUCCCCAUGAAGAAACAAACUCAUCUACUUCUUGGAUGGCCGGAGGCCGUCUCCUCACAAGAGAAGCACCGAGCCUGGAGGAGGAGACGCAGCUGUCUCUCUUCAGCCCGAAUUACUGUGGCUUUAGAAGGAACUCAAGGACGAACGGGGUGAGAGAUUAAAUGUGCAUUUAUUUGAGUUUGACGGGUGACGGGCGACAGUGAAGAAGACUGA